UCCCUGGCAGUCCAGUGGUUAGGACUCUGUGCUUCCACUGCAGGGGGUGCAGGUUGGAUCCCUGUUUGGGGAA
rnacentral:tRNA from 1 species